rnacentral:misc_RNA from 1 species
AAAAAGUGAUGUAUAUAGUUUCGGGGUUGUGCUUGUGGAGCUCUUAUCAGGAGUGAAGCCGAACUCUAGUAUUGUGAUGAGAUCAGGAGAAAAGACUAACAUCAUUCAGAAAUUUCUCUCAUCUCUAGAAAAUAAGAAACUCUCUGAAAUACUUUGUUUCAAUGCAACUGAUGAAGAAAUGGAAGAGAUUGGAGUUUUUGCAGAGCUAGCGAAACAAUGCUUGAGCAGUAAUGGGGUGAAUAGGCCAACCAUGAAAGAUGUAGCCGAGGAGCUUGGGAGGUUGAUGAAGUUGCAUCAGAGUUUAUGGGCUCAGCAAAAUAGUAAAGAGACUGAUAAUUUUUUAGGUGGUGAUUCAUCAUCUUAUCUUUCCAUUGAAAUUGAAACAACAAAGAUGAAGCAACCUGACACUCUUAAUAUGACAACAUUUUCUUUUGAAUACCCUGCUGGUAGUGUUUGAAUUGGUUAGCAUAAUCUUUCAGAAGAAAGCACUUCCAAAUAAGUCCCAAUUCUCCCAAGCUGCAGUUCAGUGAUUGUGGUUGGUUGACUUCCAGCAUAAAACUCAGUCAAUUCUCAGAGUAUGGAUGUUUUUGUUGUUUAUUCGAUCUCAAUAUAUAUGUAAAAAAUUGUAAUAGUUUGUUAUUCAAUAAUUUACAGUUUGGAAGAAUGUAUAUCAGUAUUCACCUGAAUAAAGAACCAGAAGUAAAAAUUUAUUUGUGUGUAACUCUAG